rnacentral:rRNA from 1 species
UACGAAGGGUGCAAACGUUGCUCGGAAUUAUUGGGCGUAAAGCGCACGUAGGCGGCUUAGCAAGUCGGAAGUGAAAUCCCACGGCUCAACCAUGGAAGUGCUUUCGAAACUGCUGAGCUUUGAGUACGAAAAGAGGAUCGCGGAAUUCCCGGUGUAGAGGUGAAAUUCGUAGAUAUCGGGGAGGAACACCAGGUGGCGAAGGCGGCGAUCUGGGUCGAUACUGACGCUGAGGUGCGAAAAGCGUGGGGGAGCAAAACAGG